GACGAACGCUGGCGGCGUGCUUAACACAUGCAAGUCGAACGGAAAGGCCCUGCUUUUGUGGGGUGCUCGAGCGGCGAACGGGUGAGUAACACGUGAGUAACCUGCCCUUGACUUUGGGAUAACUUCAGGAAACUGGGGCUAAUACCGGAUAGGAGCUCCUGCUGCAUGGUGGGGGUUGGAAAGUUUCGGCGGUUGGGGAUGGACUCGCGGCUUAUCAGCUUGUUGGUGGGGUAGUGGCUUACCAAGGCUUUGACGGGUAGCCGGCCUGAGAGGGUGACCGGCGACAUUGGUACUGAGAUACGGCCCAGUCUCCUACGGGAGGCAGCGGUGGGGAAUAUUGCACAGUGGGCGGAAGUCUGAUGCAGCAACGCCGCGUGCGGGAUGACGGCCUUCUGGUUGUAAACCGCUUUCGCCUGUGACGAAGCGGGAGUGACGGUAACGGGUAAAGAAGCACCGGCUAACUACGUG
rnacentral:rRNA from 1 species